GACGGGGGGGGGGGCAAGUGUUCUUCUGAAUGGCUGGGAGGAAAGGGCACGUAGGCGGUGAAUCGGGUUGAAAGUGAAAGUCGCCAAAAAGUGGCGGAAUGCUCUCGAAACCAAUUCACUUGAGUGAGACAGAGGAGAGUGGAAUUUCGUGUGUAGGGGUGAAAUCCGUAGAUCUACGAAGGAACGCCAAAAGCGAAGGCAGCUCUCUGGGUCCCUACCGAUGCUGGGGUGCGAAAGCAUGGGGAGCGAACAGG
rnacentral:rRNA from 1 species